UACGAGAUGUCUACUUGGAGGUUGUGCCCUUGAGGCGUGGCUUCCGGAGCUAACGCGUUAAGUAGACCGCCUGGGGAGUACGGCCGCAAGGUUAAAACUCAAAUGAAUUGACGGGGGCCCGCACAAGCGGUGGAGCAUGUGGUUUAAUUCGAUGCAACGCGAAGAACCUUACCUGGUCUUGACAUCCACAGAAGAAUCCAGAGAUGGAUUUGUGCCUUCGGGAACUGUGAGACAGGUGCUGCAUGGCUGUCGUCAGCUCGUGUUGUGAAAUGUUGGGUUAAGUCCCGCAACGAGCGCAACCCUUAUCCUUUGUUGCCAGCGGUUAGGCCGGGAACUCAAAGGAGACUGCCAGUGAUAAACUGGAGGAAGGUGGGGAUGACGUCAAGUCAUCAUGGCCCUUACGACCAGGGCUACACACGUGCUACAAUGGCGCAUACAAAGAGAAGCGACCUCGCGAGAGCAAGCGGACCUCAUAAAGUGCGUCGUAGUCCGGAUUGGAGUCUGCAACUCGACUCCAUGAAGUCGGAAUCGCUAGUAAUCGUGGAUCAGAAUGCCACGGUGAAUACGUUCCCGGGCCUUGUACACACCGCCCGUCACACCAUGGGAGUGGGUUGCAAAAGAAGUAGGUAGCUUAACCUUCGGGAGGGCGCUUACCACUUUGUGAUUCAUGACUGGGGUGAAGUCGACA
rnacentral:rRNA from 1 species